rnacentral:rRNA from 1 species
CGUAGGCGGCCGGUCGCGUCGGAUGUGAAAGCCCCGGGCUCAACCUGGGAGGUGCAUCCGAUACGGGCUGGCUUGAGAGCGGGAGAGGAGUGUGGAAUUCCCAGUGUAGAGGUGAAAUUCGUAGAUAUUGGGAAGAACACCAGUGGCGAAGGCGGCACUCUGGCCCGUUUCUGACGCUGAGGCGCGAAAGCGUGGGGAGCAAACA